UGAGGAAUAUUGGUCAAUGGGCGCAAGCCUGAACCAGCCAUCCCGCGUGCAGGAUGAAGGCCUUCGGGUUGUAAACCGCUUUCAGCAGGGAUGAAAAUGACAGUACCUGCAGAAGAAGCCCCGGCUAACUACGUGCCAGCAGCCGCGGUAAUACGUAGGGGGCAAGCGUUAUCCGGAUUCAUUGGGCGUAAAGAGCGCGUAGGCGGCUUGUUAAGCGAGAUGUGAAAUCCGGGGGCUUAACCCGCGGCUUGCAUCUCGAACUGGCAGGCUUGAGUUUGGUAGAGGAGUGUGGAAUUCCCAGUGUAGCGGUGAAAUGCGCAGAUAUUGGGAGGAACACCAGUGGCGAAGGCGGCACUCUGGGCCAUAACUGACGCUGAGGCGCGAAAGCUAGGGGAGCGAACAG
rnacentral:rRNA from 1 species